CCUACGGGAGGCAGCAGUGAGGAAUAUUGGUCAAUGGACGAGAGUCUGAACCAGCCAAGUAGCGUGAAGGAUGACUGCCCUAUGGGUUGUAAACUUCUUUUAUAUGGGAAUAAAAUGUUCCACGUGUGUGAUUUUGUAUGUACCAUAUGAAUAAGGAUCGGCUAACUCCGUGCCAGCAGCCGCGGUAAUACGGAGGAUCCGAGCGUUAUCCGGAUUUAUUGGGUUUAAAGGGAGCGUAGGUGGAUUGUUAAGUCAGUUGUGAAAGUUUGCGGCUCAACCGUAAAAUUGCAGUUGAAACUGGCAGUCUUGAGUACAGUAGAGGUGGGCGGAAUUCGUGGUGUAGCGGUGAAAUGCUUAGAUAUCACGAAGAACUCCGAUUGCGAAGGCAGUUCACUGGACUGCAACUGACACUGAGGCUCGAAAGUGUGGGUAUCAAACAGGAUUAGAUACCCGUGUAGUC
rnacentral:rRNA from 1 species